rnacentral:lncRNA from 10 species
UAAUUGCAAACAAUUUUUUGAUAAACAAGUAGGCCAGAUAUCCAAAUGAGAAGAUGCCGUUUUGCCCUCUCAUUCCAUUUGAUAACAGAAGCCCUUGUGUCACCUUAUGUUAUAGGAAUGGAAUUAUAGGGAUUAAUAUGAACAAAGUUAACCCCUUUUAACUUACUAUCGCAUAAUGUUUUCAGCUUCCAUGCCAUGAGGAUUCUGGGCAGUGCAGGGUGGGGGAGAUUGGAGGGGUGCAGAGGAAAGGAAGAUGUGAAGGGAGAGGAAUAAUAGAAACCUUUUUAAUAUAUUGAUGUGAAAUGAGAAGUAAUUCAGAAAUGCAAUUUAGUGAUGACCUCUCCUCUGGGUGGAUAUGAAAAGCAGCCUUGUUUUCUUUUAUAAAGAAAUGCUGGCAUGCUUGACUUUAGUGAAUCAAGAGAAUUGUUUGGCAAAUAACAGUGAUGGUGUGUGUCCUUGUCAGAACACCUGCUGUAUUCUCCCAGCAAACGCUGGGGCCACGGCGUCUCUCCUCUAAUGACACCUCAUCAAUCCGCUCCUAUCAAUGUCCCAGCCAUGGAGGUGACUUCGAGUGCUCAGAAGCCUUAGAAAAUGUCAACGUUUUGGGAGAAAAGGUUCAAGGAAAAGUUAGUGGAAGCCGUUAUCCAUGUCAACAUUGAACCAGAAGAGCAUGAUUUGCAAGAGGAACUGCUACACAUUUUACACUUAUUUACUCCAACCUUUCCUGCUAAUUCCAGGUUUAUUGUAAAACCACUGAUCCCUUCAUUUGAGCUCGACUUCCCUGCACUUAGUUUUGAAUUUUUCCCCUGUCCAAUAGUAAGACACACACACAGAGAAGAACAACAAGAACAAGAAGAGAAUUGCAAUGAUGUGAAAACACGAUAACACAUGUAGAGCAGAGCACUGUGCACCAGUUACUAAUGCCAGAAGAGGACUCUCACUAUAUGGAGGGUAAUGAAGAUCAUCACAAUACCAGCCACCAGGAAUAGAAGUCCAGAUACUUCUGCCCACUGUCUGUUAGUAUUGGAGUCACCAAAAAAUCACAAGUCAAGUACUUGGUGGAAAAUUACUUUACUCACAAAAAGAUACAGAGCAAGAUCAGUUUCGGUAGUGGACAUCUGUCACCAUGGUCCCUCCUAAAAGACAAUGCAGGGCAACUGGCCUAUGAGCACCCAACUAGUGCUACACUAGAAGGACUCUGACACCUCCUCCAUGAAGUAUGAAAUAUCAAAAACUAGGGGCAUGCCUGAGCGCCAUUGAAACACAGUGCUUAAGCAGAACAAAGACGUAAAGACGUACUCAUUGAGUCUGAAACAGAGAAAGAUACUUUCUCACUAAAUCUAAACCUGGGAUAGGUACUGCCUUUCCCAAUACAACAGAUUUUAGUAAAUCCUCCAAAUUUGUUUGACUUUGUUCCAUUUGUUUUGGUAAUUAUCUAUGCUGUCCCUUUCUAUAUACAAUUAGCAUAAGCUAGUCAAUACAACAAAAAUAUAUACAGCAAAUUAGAUUGGGUUUGCAUCAUUCUAUAGAUUAGGAGAAUAUUGAACAUUAUAAAAAUAGUGAAUAUUCCAAUUCAUGAACUCAAUAUAUUUAUUCAUUUACUAAGACAUUCUUGAUUUCUUAUUCAGCAUUCGUAGGUAACAUGCAAAUCCUGUAUCUAUUUUUGUUAACUUUGUACCUACAUAUUUUGUUUUUCCUGAUGCUAUUGUAACUAUUACUUUAAAAUUUAAUUUCCAUGUGCCUAUAGUCCCAACUUCUUGGGAGACUGAGGCAAAAGACUCAGUUGGGCCCAGGAGGGAGUUUGAGUCUAGUCUGGGCAACACAGAACCCCACCUCUAAAAAUUAAAUUAAGUUAAAAUUAAAAAAAAAAAUUUCCAUUUGUUCAUGCCCAUUAUGCAAAUAUGUAAUUGACCUAGUACCCUGGAACAUUCCAAAAUUAUUUUACUAAAUCUGGAGAUUUUGUUAUAGAUCUA